AACGAACGUUGGCGGCAUGGAUGAGGCAUGCAAGUCGCGGGAAUCCCAGCAAUGGGGGAACCGGCGUAAGGGGCAGUAAGGCGUGGGUACCCACCCCCGGGUCCGGGAUAGCCCGCCGAGAGGCGGGGUAAUACCGGAUGACCUCGGGAGAGCAAAGCUCCGGCGCCCGGGGCGGGGCCAACGCGUUAUUAGCUAGUUGGCGGGGUGACGGCCCACCAAGGCGGAGAUGUCUAGCGGGUGGGAGAGCACGACCCGCGCCACUCGCACUGAGACACUGGCGAGACACCUACGGGUGGCUGCAGUCGAGGAUCUUCGGCAAUGGGGGCAACCCCGACCGAGCGAUGCCGCGUGGGCGACGAAGGCCUUCGGGUUGUAAAGCCCUGUCGAGGGGGAGAAAGGGGAAACCCGGAUCCAUCCCUGGAGGAAGCUCGGGCUAAGUUCGUGCCAGCAGCCGCAGUAAAAC
rnacentral:rRNA from 1 species